AGUGAACGCUGGCGGUAGGCCUAACACAUGCAAGUCGAACGGCAGCACAGUAAGAGCUUGCUCUUACGGGUGGCGAGUGGCGGACGGGUGAGGAAUACAUCGGAAUCUACUUUUUCGUGGGGGAUAACGUCGGGAAACUUACGCUAAUACCGCAUACGACCUACGGGUGAAAGCAGGGGAUCUUCGGACCUUGCGCGAUUGAAUGAGCCGAUGUCGGAUUAGCUAGUUGGCGGGGUAAAGGCCCACCAAGGCGACGAUCCGUAGCUGGUCUGAGAGGAUGAUCAGCCACACUGGAACUGAGACACGGUCCAGACUCCUACGGGAGGCAGCAGUGGGGAAUAUUGGACAAUGGGCGCAAGCCUGAUCCAGCCAUACCGCGUGGGUGAAGAAGGCCUUCGGGUUGUAAAGCCCUUUUGUUGGGAAAGAAAAGCAGCAGGUUAAUACCCCGCUGUUCUGACGGUACCCAAAGAAUAAGCACCGGCUAACUUCG
rnacentral:rRNA from 1 species